UGACAUCCAGCUCUUGACCACAGCUGAAGC
rnacentral:piRNA from 1 species